rnacentral:misc_RNA from 1 species
UGAUUGGUGUGUGGGUGUCGCUUCAGUUCAAGUGGAUUCAAAUUGAGUAUCCUACGAUUGUGCUUGCUCUUGAGCGGCUGUUGUUUGCAUGUUGUCCCAUAGUUGCUUCUACUGUUUUCACCUGGGCAACAGUCUCUGCAGUUGGUAUGGUUAAUGCGGCUUAUUAUCUUAUGGCGUUUAACUGCAUUUUUUAUUGGCUUUUCUCAGUUCCUCGUUUAUCAUCAUUUAAAAUGAAGCAAGAAGCUAGUUAUCACGGUGGUCACGUUCCAGAUGAUAAUCUAAUCCUUGGGCAGCUUGAGAGUUGUAUUCAUACGUUGAAUCUAUUGUUUUUUCCCCUUCUAUUUCAUAUUGCCUCUCAUUACUCGGUUAUAUUUGUCUCGUGGGCAUCUAUUUGUGAUCUGUUUCUUCUCUUCUUCGUUCCAUUUUUGUUUCAACUGUAUGCCUCAACGAGAGGGGGAUUAUGGUGGGUGACUAAAAACGAGAAUCAGUUGCACAGCAUUCGUGUGGUGAAUGGAGCUAUUGCAUUGUUUUUAGUUGUCAUUUGCUUGGAGGUUAGGGUUGUGUUCCAUUCAUUUGGACGAUACAUUCAAGUGCCACCACCAUUGAAUUACCUACUUGUCACUAUAACAAUGCUGGGAGGGUCAGCAGCAGCUGGUGCUUAUGCUCUUGGUAUGGUUUCUGAUGCUUUUAGCUCAAUAGGAUUCACUGCUUCAGCUGUCAUUGUAAGUGCUGCUGGAGCGAUUGUGGUGGGGUUUCCUGUUCUGUUUGUUCCACUCCCAUCAGUGUCAGGAUUUUAUCUGGCUCGUUUCUUCACGAAGAAAAGCGUCUCAUCAUACUUUACUUUCGUUGUGCUUGGAAGCUUGAUGGUUAUAUGGUUUGUGAUGCACAAUUAUUGGGAUCUAAAUAUUUGGAUGUCAGGCAUGCCUUUAAAAUCCUUUUGCAAGCUCAUUGUUGGUAGUGUUAUCCUGGCAAUGGCCGUUCCUGGUUUAGCUAUCCUCCCAGCGCAAUUUCGUUUUCUGACUGAGAUUGGUUUGAUUGGCCAUGCUUUUCUGCUGUGCUAUAUUGAAAAUCGCUUCUUUAGUUACUCUAGUGUUUACUACUAUGGGUUGGAGGAAGAUGUUAUGUACCCAAGUUACAUGGUAGUCAUAACUACAUUUAUUGGUUUGGCGGUUGUGAGGAGACUUUCCGCGGACAACCGCAUUGGAUCAAAGGCUGUUUGGGUCCUAACUUGCUUAUACUCCUCAAAGCUUGCUGUGCUUUUUGUUACAUCAAAGGGAGUUUUGUGGGUAUCAGCUGUCCUCCUCCUGGCUGUUUCUCCUCCCCUGCUUCUUUACAGGGAUAAGUCAAGAACUGCCUCAAAGAUGAAACAUUGGCAAGGUUAUGCUCAUGCUGCUGUUGUUGCUUUAUCAGUUUGGUUCUGUCGUGAAACAGUAUUUGAAGCUCUUCAAUGGUGGCAUGGUAGACCUCCCUCUGAUGGUUUGCUUUUAGGCUCCUGCUUCCUCUUGACGGGAUUGGCUUGUGUUCCUAUUGUGGCUCUUCACUUCUCACAUGUUAUGUCUGCAAAGAGAUGCUUGGUGCUGGUGGUUGCAACAGGUUUGUUGUUUAUCCUAAUGCAGCCGCCAAUCCCAUUGUCAUGGACUUACCACUCGGCUGUAAUUAAAGCUGCUCGUCAAUCUGCUGAUGACAUUUCUAUUUAUGGCUUCUUUGCAUCAAAGCCUACAUGGCCCUCAUGGUUGCUUAUUGUUGCAAUUCUGCUCACCCUGGCCUCUGUUACUUCCACCAUCCCAAUCAAAUACGUCGUUGAAUUGAGGAUAUUUUACGCCAUUGCUGUAGGCAUUUCUCUUGGAAUUUACAUAUCAGCAGAAUAUUUUCUGCAGGCUGCAAUCCUCCAUGCUCUCAUCAUCGUCACCAUGGUCUGUACUUCAGUAUUUGUUGUUUUCACUCACUUCCCAUCUGCUUCAAGCACAAAAUUUCUGCCAUGGGUAUUUGCACUUCUUGUGGCUCUCUUUCCUGUAACAUAUUUGUUGGAGGGACAAAUCAGAAUAAAUAAAAGCAUCCUUGGAGAUAAUGCAGUGCAAGAUAUGGGGGAAGAGGACAGCAAACUGGCAACCCUUCUGGCCGUUGAAGGUGCAAGAACUUCUCUUCUUGGUUUAUAUGCUGCAAUUUUUAUGCUUAUUGCUCUUGAAGUGAAGUUUGAGCUGGCUUCACUGAUGCGAGAAAAGGUAACAGAUAGGGGUACAGUUAGACACGGCCUUUCAGGUCAAAGUAGCUCUACUAUUGUUCCCCCAAGAUUAAGGUUCAUGCAGCAACGCAAAGCCUCUGCUGUCCCAUCCUUUACAAUCAAGAGAAUGGUUGCAGAGGGUGCCUGGAUGCCUGCCGUUGGCAAUGUUGCCACGAUCAUGUGCUUUGCUAUAUGCCUGAUCUUGAACGUCAAUCUUACUGGUGGCUCAAACCGUGCUAUUUUCUUCUUAGCACCUAUUAUGCUCCUGCUUAAUCAAGAUUCUGAUUUUGUUGCGGGUUUUGGGGAGAAGCAAAGGUACUUCCCAGUUGUAGUUGUCAUCUCUUCUUACUUGGUUUUAACUACCGUGUAUAGCAUAUGGGAAAAUAUAUGGCAUGGGAAUGCAGGUUGGGGAUUAGACGUGGGAGGUCCAGAUUGGUUAUUUGCGGUGAAGAAUUUGGCACUUCUGAUUCUAACAUUUCCAAGUCACAUCCUUUUUAAUCGGUUUGUGUGGAGCUACAGGAAACAGUCUGACUCUAUGCCUUUGAUGACGAUACCUCUAAAUUUGCCAUCAGUUUUGAUGACGGAUAUUAUCAAGGUUAAGAUAUUGGGACUCCUUGGAGUUAUAUAUUCGUUAGCCCAGUAUCUGAUCUCUAGACAAGAAUAUAUUUCAGGAAUGAAGUAUAUUUAGAAAAACAUAAAAAUUUUGUACUAUAUGUUGUUGGAAAUUUUCAAGUGAGG